rnacentral:lncRNA from 1 species
AUGCAAAGGUAACACUCAUUAACUCCCAAACAUUUGAUUCAUACAUCUUUGGAAAUAUUUUUCCAAUAUGCAUGUUAUGUCCAAUAAUUUUUAUUUCUGUAUACUUUGAAUAAUUGACUACUCUAAUAAACCCUGGUAAAAAAGGAUAAUUUUAUACCUUCAUAAGAACACUGCCACCACCUCUCAGUACCAAAACUAUUGAAUUAAAUUAAUAAACUUGAUUAUUGACAUUUCCUUCAAAAUUUGAAGGUACAGUAGAAGCCCAAUUACAUACAAUUUAUCAGGACACUGGAAGGUAGGGACUGCGCUUCUCAUUGUGCACCCUGUGCUGAACGUUGACUAAAAUAAAGCUAUCAAAAUGUUGUCAUAUAAACUCAGUGAAUCAGCUGAGUAAAUUUCCAACUUUAAGUGUGAAUUAAGUACAAAAUGGACAGUUACUCUUUUCUUCCAAGAAUCUAAGAUUCUUAGGAAGCCAAACUCUUAUAAGAUCAUCAAAAAUGUAGAAAUGCAUAAAGGAAUAUAUGAAAUAAAUAAAUAGCAGUUGUGAGUGAGUAGACCUUCAAUGCUUUGAGACACAUAGAACCUGUUCCUUGCAAUGUUCUUGAAUAAAUUCCAAUAUCAAUUUGACAACGGAAUCUGGCUUUUCCACGUGUGGAAGAUGACCACAAUCUGAUAUCUGGCGUAGAAUUGCAUUUGGCAGUUCACAAUGUAGUCUCUGUUUUACAUAGUUCAAACAGUCACAAAAGGCAAGUUAAUUCCAGUUUUUUUAAUUAAUUUUUAAUAGCGACAAACUCUAAAUCAUAAAACAGAAGUACUUCAUGCAUAGGAUAACAAGAGAAAAGAAAUAAAAAAUAUAGGACUUAAGAAGAUCUAAUUCUUCUCGGCACGAUUCAGUGGCCUAUUUUGU